rnacentral:rRNA from 1 species
UGAGCAAUCUGCCCUUCUCAUCGGAAUAAGCGUUGGAAACGACGUCUAAUGCCGAAUACGACCUCCUUUCGCAUGAUCGGAGGUGGAAAGCUCCGGCGGAGAAGGAUGAGCUCGCGGCCUAUCAGCUAGUUGGUGUGGGUAAUGGCCCACCAAGGCGACGACGGGUAGUCGGCCUGAGAGGGUGACCGGCCACACUGGGACUGAGACACGGCCCAGACCUCCGUACGGGAGCAG